AGAAGCCAGUGAGACCACGGCUUUGUGGGAGAGAGGCCAACCAAACAGAGCUACAGCCACAUGGUGAGGAAUGCAGCCAGUACCUAAACUGCAGCCAUCAGAGUAGGAGCAAGAGGAAUAAAUACCCUGACUGCUGUCUCCUCUUGCUCUCUGGUUUUCUGUUGGUUCUUCCCAGCUGCCGAAUAGAAGUGGAAGUCAGACAUCAGGGAAGCCCAGGUAAUGCAGUCCAUGAAGGUCAGUCUGCGGGGUACAGGGUAGUCAGGGAGAGGAAGGAUAAAUGGGGAAUAAUCAGUGUAAUAUGUUGUUAUACAAAUGUGUCAUUAAUCUGGUAGAAAUUUUCCUAGAAGUUGAAUUGUGGUGUCAGCAGGAAGGACAGAGCUGGCCACAUGUCCCUCAAUCUCCCCUCCCCUUUUCUUCCCUGGUAAUACAAUGCAAAGCUGUGCAAAUGGCUGCCCAGAAUUAAGACUACAUUUCCCAGCCUCCUUUGCAGCCAGAGCAGUGGAAGGGGAAAUGUCGCGUGACAGCUUCUGAAAAACUUCUCCGAGAGACAGAUGACAAGUGCCUUCUGUCCUCUAUUCUUUAUUCCUUCUUGUAAUUCACAUGCUGCCUAGGGCCACACCCUUUUGAUGGUGAGUGGAGAGCUGGAAGGAGCCAGGCUCCUGAGGACUUCAUGGGGUGACGCUGAUGCACUUGGUUCCAGUGCCAUACUUUGAGAAGUGAGGCUGAAAAGGAUGGGUAUGGACUUGGAUCCGGAGGUCUGGAGGAGAAAUUGGAUUCAACAGGCUUGAGGGGCCAUCUUCCUUGGAGGUGCUGCACAGAGUCAGCCGGUGAGGCAGCUAGGUGACCAGGCUUGGAGCUCCAUGUGACCUUCAAAACACAGGCCAAGCCAGGAGAUAGCCCACAGAGGAACACACAUGACCAUCCUGUGAAGACCUCACCCCCAGGAUGGCUUUACUGCAGUCUUGCAGGUAAAAUACCCUCAUUACUCACCCGUCCAGGUGCUGCUUCUUGCCUACUCAUUUGCCUUUUUCAGUAGAUAGUGGGAGUCUGGAAGUUUGAGAAAGAGGAUUGGGCAGGUGCUGGGGUCCCCGGUCAUUCUGUUUCAAUCUCUUGAGGUCCUAAUAAUGGCAUAUGAAUUAUGCAGGAAGAAAAGAAAAGGAAAUGCAUAGGCAGGCCCCAUCCAGGGUCCUGGUCAAUAAAUACUAACUGUGAAUGAAGGUUUUUAAAAGGAGAAAGGAAUUCUACAGUGUAUUCAGGAUCUAAAGAUUGUGUUCAUCAACAAAGCAAUCAGAUUGCAAAUUAGUUGUAUUGUUAAGUUAUACACCGGGUAAUUAAAAUUAAUUUUUGUAGAGCAAGCCACAUAUUGUAUUUGAUGCUCACAAUAACUGCCAUUUAGAAAGUGUUUACUGUGAACUCAGCCAUUUAUGCAAAUGAUCUCAUUUAAUUCUCACAAUCUCUCUAUGAAGAAGGCAUUGUUAUUAUCCCCAACUUUACAGAUGUAAGAACUGAGGCUCGUAAAUGGCAAAUAAGUUGUCCAAGGUGACACACAGCAAGUAGUCAGAGCUGGAACUCUAAUCCAGUUCUGAGUUUGCCAUCCAAGCUUUUAAUCACGAUGCUAAACCACUGCACAGCAGACCUGGCAGGUGGAGACUAAUAGCUGGAUUUUCUUUCAUUGGAACGGAGAUUGUGGUUUAUAGUAGGUUGAACUAUGUGAAGUGGCUGGUGUUCUACCAUUUUGACUUACAAAAAUGGCAAUGUCACAUGCUACAACCUAAUAGAUACUAAGUGAAUAUCAUCCCAGGCAAUAAGUGUCCUCUUAAGACCCUAAACUUCUAUUCUUUCUGCUACUCCACUCAUUCUAGGAGUAAAUGUCUGGGAGUAAACAGCCCACUUAGUAGGGGUGGGUUAUUGUGACAGACACAUGGUCCCAUUUGUAAAGAAGACCUUAGGAAGAGUCUUUUUGAUUUUUAGAAACGGCUUUCUGAGAUUGUAGAGAAUAGUCCUGAACAGAUCAGGAAAGACUUCCAAUCCAGACUGAGGGAGUAGCUCCCACAAAGUCACUGAGGUAAGGAAGAGCUGCGCCUCCAAGGGGUUUUAGGUCGCUGGGCUUGGCUAGAGCAUAGGACUUUGAUUAUGGCAUGUGGGGAGAUUGUGGGGUAUAUCACAAAGUGCUUGGAAUUAUCACAGAGGCUGGAUUUUAUUUCCUACAGGGCAGCAUUUAGAUAUUGUAGGCAUUGCAGUGACACACUCAGAUCUGUGCUGAGAAGACCCUCUCUGCAUGUGUGUUCAGGAUGGAUUAGAAGGGGGUGCCUGCAGCAAGGACACUAGUUAUGAGAAAUCCAGGCAAGGCAGGAGGAGUGCCUAACCAAAGAGGUAGAGGGGACAGAAGACAGAAAUGAUUUGGGACUAUGUAGGAGGCAGAAUUUGGAGGCCCUGGUAACUGACUGGAAGCAAGGGAUAAUCUACAAUUGAUGGGCAUGUUUAGAAACUACAGAUAGAUCCUUAGCCUCACAAAAUCUUGCAAACACUGUCACUCAAAAUCCCAGAAAAGAGAAGGAUGAAUCCUCUAGAAGAACGAGCUCCAGGCCACUAAGAGUUAUGUCCUCUUUUAAAGAAAGAUGGGAACAAGGCAGGAAUCUUCUAACCUGGACAUUGAUUACCAGGAGAAAUCUUUCCACUCACGACAGGGCCAACAUUCUGCGGUAUACACUGAGCUCGCAUAAUGGCCAGCCUCCAUUUUUAUUGUGGAUUGCCAUGCUUUAUAGGUUGUCAAAUAUUUUGAUCACCAUCCCUGCUCUUGCACCAAGAGGACAAACUAAUCGUAUUGAUGUGAGAAGUACUAUGCAAGGAUAUGUACAUUCUUAAUCCUUAGUUACUCAGUGGAAAACAUACCUUUGAAUGUCCCUAAAUCCUUGGGAGGAAAGGAUGGUUAGGCACCGGAAUCUAAAGACAAGAUUUGCUGGAUGGUACAAAAUGCCCAGGGGAAAAGAGGGAAGUUCAAGAAUAGCUCAGCAGGGUCUUAGUUCUUAUUUGAUUUCUGAAAGAGAAGACAGGUCUAGCUCUGCUGGAAACAGCCUAGACACUGUGCAUCCCAGUUGCUGUGAGCCCCCCAUAGAAGGGAGUCACCCUGGAUCUGUGCAAACUGUUCCCAACCUUCAGUUAGUGUCCGCAGUAUUCCAGCCUCCCCAUAGGAAGUGGCAGGAGACUUUAUGGAUGGGUUUAUCUCACUGCCCAACAGUUUAGUGAAAUAUAAUAGAAAAAACUAUUUUGUAUAUACCUAAAGGAAAGUUCUGGGGAACCUUUCUUGAGGUAGUCAAAAUCAAAACCCAACCUCCCGAAAGAAACUUAGUCUGCUUAUAAAAUUAAACACACACAAAAUUUGCCACAUAGCCCUUCCCUAUUUGAAAGUGAGUUAAAAGGAGGCUAUGUUAUCAUUAGGCAUGCCCUUUAGUCAGCUAGCAGAGCAAAUUCCUGAAAGGUAGACCAAAAAAGAAUUCAAGCCCAUUUAAAACCUGUUCUGUUCUUGGAAACCUGUAUUUCUCUCCCUCAUAUGGCUUAUAUAGCCUAAUACAAAUUUUUAGAGAACUUGAAUAUAGGAAGAUGAUUUUUUAACCAGCUCUCUCAAGCAGCCUAGUAAAAAGGUUUCCAAGACUGGGAAGACAGAUACAUUAAUCAAUAGCUUUCAAAGUUGCAAGACUCCCAGCGAUAAUCAGAAAAGACAUCUGUCAGCAAUGGUAAACCGCUUGACAGAAGCAGGAAACAACAUAAACUGCCAAAUUAAAUCAUUUCAAAGAUCUCUGUGUUGGAGGUGCCUCAUGGUCCAUGUUCCCCAUGAUUUAGAUGCCUAUGACAGAAUCUAAGUGCUUCUGAAUUGUUCACAUUUCACCCUAUCUCUGUCUUUGUCUUGCUUGGCUCUUCUGUUUCUUGGUAUCUGUGUUUCUGGAGGUGUGGAUGUGUUUAUCACCCAUACAGGCAAGAAUUCCUCAGGUAAGCCAAUUCUGGACUUGGUUAAAGACUGGCCUUCAUGGGAAGCCUUUGUAUUUAGUAAAAUCUAGAACUGGGGAUGAGUGAAGCCAGUGGGCGGCUCCAGGCCCCAGGACAGCUGGACCUUGCCCUUCAUGUGUCCUGUAAGUGUAUCUAGGGCUGUGUGGUCUAUAGACGUGCAGUCCCUCAACAAAGACAAGAUGAGGUUAGAAUGUGUCAGAAUGUGGUCUUGAUCUGUCAUCCCCCAGUGGGCCCCGUGUUCCCCAAUUCAGAACCUUAGAAUGACUAAUGCCUUAGAAAAGAUGCAUUUAUUUUCUUGGAUGCAAAUGUAGGGCACCCACGUAGUCCCAAAGGGCCCCCUUUCUCUUCAGUCUGUGCUGUUUUAGGAGGAACUUUCCUGCUCCUGAGAUGCAUAAUCUGUAGUCAUUUGGAAUGUAUUUUUUUCCCUUGGAAUGAUGGAAUAAAGGAUCAUUGAGUAAAAAUGAAAAUUAUGUUUCAAGGACAUUUUGGGCUAGAAUAGGUUGUAUUUAUUGAUCUAGAAAGAUAGCCAGUAGAAAUGUUUGUGAGAAAUUGCUUUCCGGGUUACAAACAACCGACAUAUAAACAUAAUUGGGAACUGAACUCACUGGAAAGUUAAAAGAUGUUAUUACUGUCACAUAGUAGAAACUUACCACAUGAUAUUAAGCAUUCUGUAACGGAGAUUGCUAGUUGUCUUCCAAAUGCCAUAGUAAUUGAAUUUAAGCUGAGCAAAUGGCCUCAAAGAUUCCCUUUCUGAGCCUGCCUUGCAGCUGGGUGUGUUAGCUAAUUGGCUGAGGUGAUAGCAAUAGCAUUGCUUGAUGGUGUGUAUAUGUGGUUUGUGUUAUGGGGGACUGGAUGUGGGGGUCCUUUGCCUUUUCUUCCUCUUCCCUUCCUCCAUCCUGCUGUGUGGGAUGCACAUGCUGCUAUGUUGGCUCAUGGGAUCAAGACCACCUAUGGCAAUUCAACCAGAUAGAAGUACCCUGGGCUUCUGGCACCAGGAGACAACGGGUCUUAACAUCCUUCCUAAAUGUUGAUGUACGAGAAAUCAACUACAACCGUGUUUAAGCUACUGUCGUUCAGGUGAUGGAGUGGGAAUGGGGGCUGAGGAAGCUUUCUGUCGCAGCUGAACCUAAUUCUAACAAACAUUGGGUCUGCCAUUUUGGUAUUAAGUCAUGAUAUGGUUUGGCUCUGUGUCCCCACCCAAAUCUCAUGUUGAAUUGUAAUCCCCAGUGUUGGGGGAAGCACC